AGGCAGCUGACGUCACGGGGGCAGUGACGUCAUCAGUGACGCUGCUGACCCCGCCCCUCCCGCUGCAGAGCCGGCGAAGACGGAGUGGGACAGGUUCGAGUACGAUUACGACUCUCUGCGCCUCGGGGGUCUCAUCGUGGCCGGGGAUUUUCUUCGUGCUCGGGAUCCUCCUCAUCCUCAGUCGCCAUUGCCGCUGCAAGUUCGACCAACAGCCCAAGACGGGGGAGCCGGACGAGGCCGAGGGCGCGCUGCGGCAAUCGAUGAGGCGUCUCUCCACCCGCAUGAGAUGAAAUUUUGGGAUCCCCGAAAUUCCGGCCGGACGGAGCCGCCGCACCCCAAAACCCCAAAAUCCCCAAAAUCCCCCCAAAAUCCCCCCCAAAUCCCCCCAAAAUCCCCAAAAAACCC